UGGGGAAUUUUGGACAAUGGGCGAAAGCCUGAUCCAGCAAUGCCGCGUGUGUGAAGAAGACCUUCGGGUUGUAAAGCACUUUUGUCCGGAAAGAAAUCCUUGGCUCUAAUACAGUCGGGGGAUGACGGUACCGGAAGAAUAAGCACCGGCUAACUACGUGCCAGCAGCCGCGGUAAUACGUAGGGUGCAAGCGUUAAUCGGAAUUACUGGGCGUAAAGCGUGCGCAGGCGGUUUGCUAAGACCGAUGUGAAAUCCCCGGGCUCAACCUGGGAACUGCAUUGGUGACUGGCAGGCUAGAGUAUGGCAGAGGGGGGUAGAAUUCCACGUGUAGCAGUGAAAUGCGUAGAGAUGUGGAGGAAUACCGAUGGCGAAGGCAGCCCCCUGGGCCAAUACUGACGCUCAUGCACGAAAGCGUGGGGAGCAAACAGGAUUAGAUACCCUGGUAGUCCACGCCCUAAACGAUGUCAACUAGUUGUUGGGGAUUCAUUUCCUUAGUAACGUAGCUAACGCGUGAAGUUGACCGCCUGGGGAGUACGGUCGCAAGAUUAAAACUCAAAUGAAUU
rnacentral:rRNA from 1 species